AUUGAACGCUGGCGGCAUGCUUUACACAUGCAAGUCGAACGGUAACAGGCCGCAAGGUGCUGACGAGUGGCGAACGGGUGAGUAAUGCAUCGGAACGUGCCCAGUCGUGGGGGAUAACGCAGCGAAAGCUGCGCUAAUACCGCAUACGAUCUAUGGAUGAAAGCGGGGGACCGUAAGGCCUCGCGCGAUUGGAGCGGCCGAUGUCAGAUUAGGUAGUUGGUGGGGUAAAGGUUCACCAAGCCGACGAUCUGUAGCUGGUCUGAGGGGACGACCAGCCACACUGGGACUGAGACACGGCCCAGACUCCUACGGGAGGCAGCAGUGGGGAAUUUUGGACAAUGGGCGCAAGCCUGAUCCAGCAAUGCCGCGUGCAGGAAGAAGGCCUUCGGGUUGUAAACUGCUUUUGUACGGAACGAAACGGCUCUGGUUAAUACCUGGGGCUAAUGACGGUACCGUAAGAAUAAGCACCGGCUAACUACGUGCCAGCCGCCGCCGUAAGAC
rnacentral:rRNA from 1 species